UUCGGGGUACUCGAGUGGCGAACGGGUGAGUAACACGUGGGUGAUCUGCCCUGCACUCUGGGAUAAGCCUGGGAAACUGGGUCUAAUACCGGAUAGGACCACACACUUCAUGGUGAGUGGUGCAAAGCUUUUGCGGUGUGGGAUGAGCCCGCGGCCUAUCAGCUUGUUGGUGGGGUAAUGGCCCACCAAGGCGACGACGGGUAGCCGGCCUGAGAGGGUGACCGGCCACACUGGGACUGAGAUACGGCCCAGACUCCUACGGGAGGCAGCAGUGGGGAAUAUUGCACAAUGGGCGCAAGCCUGAUGCAGCGACGCCGCGUGAGGGAUGACGGCCUUCGGGUUGUAAACCUCUUUCAGUAGGGACGAAGCGAAAGUGACGGUACCUACAGAAGAAGGACCGGCCAACUACGUGCCAGCAGCCGCGGUAAUACGUAGGGUCCGAGCGUUGUCCGGAAUUACUGGGCGUAAAGAGCUCGUAGGUGGUUUGUCACGUUGUUCGUGAAAACCCACAGCUUAACUGUGGGCGUGCGGGCGAUACGGGCAGACUAGAGUACUGCAGGGGAGACUGGAAUUCCUGGUGUAGCGGUGGAAUGCGCAGAUAUCAGGAGGAACACCGGUGGCGAAGGCGGGUCUCUGGGCAGUAACUGACGCUGAGGAGCGAAAGCGUGGGUAGCGAACAGGAUUAGAUACC
rnacentral:rRNA from 1 species